GUGACGGGGGAUGCUAGUGUUAAAUACUUGCCACCAAUUUCGUCAUUAUUAUUUUAUUACUAACACUGAGAAUUACUUUAUCUUGCGAAUUAUGUUUUUCCAAUCAUUUCAUGUACUUUAAACAUUAAAAUAUACAGUUACUGUAUUUAAGUAUUUCUAGUAUUUUUAUUUUUCUCCCAUAAUAUUUCUUUUAUUUUUAAACGUUACAUAUACAUUCCAAACAUAUGUAUGUAAGAUGCUAAAUACAUAUAUAAUAGUAGAAAAAGAAAUAGUAUUUAGAUACUAACAAAAAUGUUACGUAGUUAAUAGAGACAUACGAAAACAGAUCAAGCACAGAAUAUCGAAAACUGUCAAUAUCUGUAUGUCACUAUGUCAGUAUCAUAAUAUCUGUAUGUUUGAACAAGAAAUGUAAAUGUCAUACGAUUAUUGUCGUUUACGCAAUUUUUCACGAAAAAUUUCUGCAACACCAAAAAUUCGGGAAUAGAUAGUAAAGAAAUAAGUAUUAAAAAGGAUAGAAAAAGAUACUUCUAUUCAAAAUAUACGUUACUGUUUUAUUUUGCUUUAUGUAACUGUAAGCUAUUAUUUUACUUUGAAUAACGGUUCCAUUUGAAUACUUUUCCAUAUACGUAUAGUUACUUUUUCUCACGUUCUCCCUUAGAAGUAAAUAUGUUGACAAUUGAUACCUAAUAGAACACAAAUAAACCUCCCUUCCAUAGCGUGCUAGGAAUCUCAUAAACAUCAUAUUAUGAAGCGCUUAUUAUUUUUGUAUCGCUGAUACAGAGGACAGCUUCGUAUUUGGGAAGGUGAGCAAAUGAUUACUGUUUCAAUACCUUAGUUUCUCUGUGCCAAGAACGAAUUACAAACUUGAUCUACAGUAUCACAAUAUUAAGAAGACUAAACAAAAUAAAAACAAAAGAAUACAGCAGGCUCCCUAUUUCGAGAUUUCGAAGCAGCACUAAUUUGAAAAAGCGUUAAAUAACAUCUGCCGCAAAUAUAAGCAGUAGUGUUCACAAUGCUACUAUCUCUGCUAUAUACAAUAGUCGCAAUAAUAACCUUACUAAUGAUCUUACUGGUAGCAGCAAAGGGAACUGAAAUUAUAAUGUAUAUAAUAUAUUAUAUUGUAUCUAAUUUUUUAUAUAAUUUUGAUUGGAUAAUUGAUUGGAUAAUUGAUGGGAAAAACGAUCUCUGGAUACUACAGCUAGUUGUGGGAACUAUAGUAGGAGCAACUAUUGCUAUUAUAUAUAUUGUAAUUAUACGACGUAACCUGGAACUAGUUGAAAUACCCAUAGAUGGUUUUAAUGAAAAUGACGCCCAUAUAGUCCAGAAUGGGCAUGCCAUAUUCCCGAUUGAAAAUUGAAGCACCAAAUGGUGCUAAAGAAUGAUGACAUUAUAUAUCGGUUUCCGAAAAAAUUACAUUGAAUUCGCAAAUAUUAUAGCAUUAUUGAUAUAUACUUUUAACGCUAUUUUACAUAUGUUGAUGGAAACCAUUUUUCACUUUACAAUGACUUGACAAUGAUGACAGUGAAUUGCUGCAUGUGUAUGCGUAUGCAAAUUUAUAACAUGUUUCGAUAAAAAAUUUUUAAAUCUGAUAUGUAUACUGACAUAAUAUAGAAACAAUAUAUUAUAAACAUUAUAAACGUUAUAAAUGUUACGUUAUAAUGUAUGCAGUAUUGUAUUACAUAUUACUUAUAUAAUGACAUGAUACAUACAUAUACAUAUAACUUUAUGAUAUAUAUAUAUA
rnacentral:lncRNA from 1 species